UCCGUCGAUUGGUUGUGUAGAGGAACCCCAAACCCUAACUCCAGCGCUAAUCAAAACGCGCCUCUGCCUUUCUCACACUCAGCCACUGUCCAGAGCUCCUCUGAGCUCCUGCUCCUCCCUCACUCCCACACUUCCGUCCAGCCACAACUUACUACCAUCGCCGUCGCAACUUCUAACUUCGAACAGCCACCGUUGCAAACUUCCAACUUCGAACAGCCACCACCUGCUCCCUCACUUCCCUUUCAUCGCGCAGCAAAUGUCGCAAACUUCCUUCCCUCCGUCCCACAGCCACCGUUCGAAUGUCGAAGCCUCCAUCGCGCAGCCACUGUCACGCUACGCUAGUUCUGUUCCACCGCGUUCCAGUCCUUUCAGCGGCGUCAGCUCUGUUCCAUUGCUCAGCCCUUCCCUCGUAGAUCAUUCCCUGGAAAUUUCCUCUUCUCAUGUUUGCUUGGAAGGUUGGACUGGCAUUGGCCUGUGGUAAUACUAUUGUUCUCAACCGUUGAGCAGGCACCAUUGUCUGCUUUGUACGCAGCAAAAUUAUUUCAUGAGGUGGACACAUAUUCUCUGUUAAUGGAACCAUGCUCAUUUGCUAGUUUGGAAGAUAUAAAGAGGCGUAGUUUAAACUAAAAUAGCUUUGUUACUGGUCUAUCAUUUUUCUCUAUGUAUUCCUCAUAAUUGGAUCGAGUCCUUUCAAGUUCUAUUUGAGUGGAUUAUUUUUCCUUAUUUAAACACAACUUUGUAUGAACAAUUUCAAGAGAGAUAGAAUACUUAAGUUUUGGGUAUUCACUAUUAGACAUUAUGCUUGCAGUGCGCAAGGUACCAUCAGCUGAUUUAGUUAUUACAAUCCU